CGCGCUUCCUGGCACGCAAUGUAUUCCAUGACAGAGACUUCCUGUACGGUACAGGAACGAGAAACAUCAACCAGCCAAUCAGAGAGAAGCUCAGCGGGGUCCAGCUAGGUCUGGCUGCAGAGGCAACACGUCUGUCAGCGGAGGCUCCUGACAGGGUCGCUGUUGCCUGAAGCUGCAGCCAGACCCUUCUGAUCCGUUAAGAUACAGGGGAGGACGGACAGAAGGACGGAAGGACUCACUUUACUGAGACAGAGAUAAAGAAACGGAAACAGUGACAUACUGUACCUUUAACACAAGCAGAAACAACACUGUGAGCUUUGAACACUUUCAACAAUCACACCUGCAGUUAAACACACGUGUCCCGUGUUUCCUGUAGACGUGGUGAUGUGUUCAUUUAUGCCUUCAUUAUUUACUGUUAUACAUGAGUAGUAAAGACUUUGAAGAUGAUGUCUGUGCAGGAAAAAAAAAUUAAUCCUUUCGCAGUUCAGGAAAAUGUAUUUCACUGUCUCUGUAUUACUUUUUCUACGUGACUGGUCAUUUGACUUCAACCACUUUGUCUUUAACACUUUUGUCAGGUGAGUGGCCAAACUUGCUGUCAGUUUGGUUUAACAGAGGUUAUGAUUAAAAUGGUUCAGUAUGUAAGAAUUAAAUUGAAAUUAGUCAGAGAUUAAAAUAACAACAGAAUGUCAACAAUUAACAGUUCUGAGAUGAUAUCAAAAGACACCUGUGGUCCUCCCGACCCCCUGUGCUAACUUGCUAAUGGCAGCGACAGUUGUGUUCGCUGGAUAAUUCUUCCAUGAAGAGCAUUUUCUUUUCAAAUCAUCCUGGUUUUCUUGUAUAAACCACCAUUAACCCUAUAUGGAAUGUAUACGUGUGUACAUUCUGUGGAGUGUCAAACCGAUGAGGUUAGUAAAAACUGAAACAAAAGAAAGUCCAAAGAAAUGUCACUACACAAAAAUCAAAAUUAACCAUACAGGGAAAAGGUGCAGACAAAGUUUUUAUACCUGUAACUCAGAGGAAGGCCUCAGGGCUGAUCGAUGUUUUCUUUCUUUAUGGUCAUAAAAACUCAAAUAAAACCUAGCUCUCUCUGUUCGCUAUCAAUCUAAUUCCAUGCUGUACCAAGCUCAACCUUAAUAAUGCUUGAUUUUUGUUGUUGCAUCUUCCUCCUGCUCAGCUUUAUUCACUUGACUCCUAAGUCUCUCGUCUUCUACGGGAAAAUGGAAUGUAAAGGUAACGUUGCACACAGAAGCAGGCAGAACGCUCAGUUUCACAUUUGCUGUUGUAGUUUAUUUACAAAUAUUAAAAACUACAAAGAGUUAACCAUCUUCAUCCUACCGCAGAACAAAACAACUUCACCUUCACGUCGCUUUGCUAACUCAUGCUCAAGUCCAAAAGGUUUAUUUUACAUAUUUAAAAUACAUUUAAAAUCAUUAUUAUUAUUAGACUACCAACAGUACAAUGCUGACCGUUGCUAUUGAACGCAACAUAUUGCACAGCUUGACUUUCAUUCAGAUUUUUUCUCAUCUUAAAUAGUGCAAAAGAGAUUUUUUUUUUCUUUUUGUUUAAACAGGAAUGUUCCAGAGCCUCAGUCGAAAAAUUUACUUUGUACAGUGAACUGCUGACAUAAACAAAAUCAACAAGGAGGAGGAAAAAAAAAUCCAACUUUGUCCGUGAAAUAAAAUAAUAAUUAACAAGGCAGAAAAACAACAACAACAACAACAACCACAACAACAGGAGGGAGAAACAUAAAUGUCUUUAUAGAUUGCCACAGACAACAAAAUUAAUCUUCUCCACUGCGGAGAACGGGGCUGAGUCCACCUGAAUGCCCCAGGUGAGUUUUCUUUUUUUUUUCUUUCCAAAAACAUUAAAAAG